GCCAGUAUAGCAUAAGUUUAAUGCUUUGCUCUUGUAAAGCAAAUGAUAGGGGUUCAUCCUUUCUGGUU
rnacentral:tRNA from 1 species